CCUACGGGAUGCAGCAGUGGGGAAUAUUGGACAAUGGGCGAAAGCCUGAUCCAGCCAUGCCGCGUGUGUGAAGAAGGCCUUCGGGUUGUAAAGCACUUUCAGUGGGGAAGAAAGCCUUGGGGCUAAUACCCUCGAGGAAGGACAUCACCCACAGAAGAAGCACCGGCUAACUCCGUGCCAGCAGCCGCGGUAAUACGGAGGGUGCGAGCGUUAAUCGGAAUUACUGGGCGUAAAGCGCGCGUAGGCGGUCUGAUAAGCCGGUUGUGAAAGCCCCGGGCUCAACCUGGGAACGGCAUCCGGAACUGUCAAGCUAGAGUGCAGGAGAGGAAGGUAGAAUUCCCGGUGUAGCGGUGAAAUGCGUAGAGAUCGGGAGGAAUACCAGUGGCGAAGGCGGCCUUCUGGACUGACACUGACGCUGAGGUGCGAAAGCGUGGGUAGCAAACAGGAUUAGAUACCCGAGUAGUC
rnacentral:rRNA from 1 species